CCUGAGCGGCGGGUGGGGGCCCUAAAGUAAAAUAAGGGAGGGGGGAUUUGUCCUGCACCCACCCUUGAGCAGUGGGUGGGGGCCCCAAAUUAGAAUAAGGGGGGUGAACCUAUUGUCCUCCCCACCCCUGAGCGGUGGGUGGGGGUCCUAAAUACCGAUAAGGGGGGGACUUAUUGUCCUCCAUUUCAGCCCCCACCCCUGAGCGGCAGGUGGGGGCACCUUUUGUCCUCCCCCCAGCACCCACCACUGAGUGGCAGGUGGGGGCCCUAAAUAAAAAUGUUACCCUCCCAGGUGACUAGGGGUCCCCAUGUCACGAUUCUGGAACCUAACAUGCUAACAGGACACACAGAGGAGAAAAGAUGCUAUACCGGUCCUUAGAGUGGCAGGGCUAAGCACACUAAGAAUGGUCAGGAGACAAGCCAAGUAAAGGGAGACAGAAAACGGGAGAACGAGAAACAAGCCGAGGUCAAAGGAGUGGAGAAUACAGUAUAAUUGGAAUAACAAGCCAAAUAAUCGGUAACCAGAGAGAAACACGAGCAAACUGCAAUACAGGUAUCACAAGACCACAACAGGGCACUGAGAGACAGGAAAGGUAAGUAUAAAUACCCUUUGCUUAAUUCUGAUUGGAUAACUUCCAAUCAGAAUUAACAAUCACACGUGGGAGAUAUCUACGCCUCCCACUGUGAUUGUACUGUUGCUUUAACGCCUGAUCACGUGAGAGACCCCGGCAUUUGCAUAAAUUUGCAACCUCCCAGCGUGCAGCGUUAUACAUGCUGCCGCUGGGAGGCGUGGAGGACGCGAGCGGCGGAGAGGAGACGCUGCUCGACGACAGGUAGGAGGAUGGGAGAUCCCCUCACAGCCGCCCGCGGAACCCUGACAUAACCCCCCCCUCGAGGACCGCUCAAC